UACAGGGGGUGCAAACGUUGCUCGGAAUCAUUGGGCGUAAAGCGCACGUAGGCGGUUCGUUAUGUCGGAUGUGAAAGCCCUUGGCUUAACCGAGGAAGUGCAUCCGAAACUGGCGAGCUAGAGUACGAAAGAGGAUCGCGGAAUUCCCGGUGUAGAGGUGAAAUUCGUAGAUAUCGGGAGGAACACCGGUGGCGAAGGCGGCGAUCUGGGUCGAUACUGACGCUGAGGUGCGAAAGCUAGGGGAGCAACAGG
rnacentral:rRNA from 1 species